rnacentral:pre_miRNA from 1 species
UGGUCGUGGCUGGCACCGUGGGUGGUGGUAUCCCAUGGCUGAGUACUUGACAGAAGAGAGAGAGCACAGCUUGAGUCGGCGGCGACCCCUGUGAGACACCCGCCUGGAGGGAGCUCUGGA